rnacentral:rRNA from 1 species
GUGGAUUAGAUACCCUGGUAGUCCACGCCCUAAACGAUGUCAACUGGGUGUUCGGGAAGCGAUUCCUGGGUACCGUAGCUAACGCGUGAAGUUGACCGCCUGGGGAGUACGGCCGCAAGGUUAAAACUCAAAGGAAUUGACGGGGACCCGCACAAGCGGUGGAUGAUGUGGAUUAAUUCGAUGCAACGCGAACAACCUUACCUACCCUUGACAUGUCCGAGAGCCCGCUGAGAGGUGGGUGUGCCCGAAAGGGAAUCGGAACACAGGUGCUGCACGGCCGUCGUCAGCU